UUAAAAAUGGUCCGUGUAUAUUUUGGUAAUUGGAUUUUCCCUUUAUGAAUGGGAAUUACAAAACAAAAAACGACUGGUUUAUUUGAUUUUCGUUUUGAAGCCCAAAACCAACAAUUGAAUUGCACAGCAUUUUUCUUUCAUUAUCGUUUUUUAAAUACACUUUACAAAAUGAAAUUCAAAGUCAACAGGAACGAAAAAACUGACCAAAAACAAGCAUUAUUCAUAUUCUCGCACCGGAAGCCGCUAUUCAGACUGUAAUAAAGCGCGAAUAAUGCGAGAAUAAUGUCUUUGGAGCCCUACUCAGAUAUUAUUCUAGAAUUGGCAAAACAAGGCCUGUCAUCGUCAGAAAUCUCUGCGCGCAUUUCAGUGGAAAGCGGGGGUGGAAGAGGAUUUUCUGAUCGAAAUGUGCGAAGAUUCUGUGCUAAAAACGGCGCAAACUUGAGGGGGUUGCCCGAGGAACAUCUGGAGUUGGAGGUGGCAAAAGCCAUAGCCGAGGUAUGAAAACUUCUUCUUUGAUAGGCCUAUGUGUGUGCAUGUGCAAAGCAAUUUAUUUCGAUUUUGGAAUGGUAAAAACAUAGGCCUAUUUGUUGUUUUCUAGACGGGACCAACAUUUGGUAGAAAAAUGAUGAAGGGGUACCUCGCCGUGAAAGGGGUACAUGCUGCAGAGACACGUAUAGGAUCAGUGCUUAGAACUAUACACCGACCUUACAAUGAAGCAAGACGUCAGGUAGGCUAUACAAAUUCAAGAUGUUUCAGGUAGCGGUGUGUCACUUAUCUACUGUCGUACUUCAGUGCUAGCCUAUAACCAUCACAAUUACUAACACAUGCACUUGCUUUCAAUGACGCUGAUGAGAAAUCAAUUCAUGGAUCAGUGAUUAUAGUGUGCAUAGCCCAAAAGUGUAAGGUCAUCCUGCCUUGAGCCUGCCUCCCUCCAAUGCAGCAACCCCACCCUGCCACCCAGUGGUCAUAUAAUAUCAUUACAUCCUCCUUUCUCUGAGGUGGGCCAAUGGCCAUAAAACUAGACAUGGAUGCUUAACAUAAGUCCAUUCCACACAUCAAUUAAACAUAUCAUUACAUCCUCCUCUCUGAAGGUUAUUCAACAGUAAAAUAGUCCAUUGGCUAAAAAAAGAGUCCAAAGACUCCAUUAGCCAUAUCCAGACUGAACCUGUAAGUUAAACAGCCAAGCAUGAAACAUUCAGAAAAACUUUUAACACACAGUAGUACUGACUCAAGUAAGGAAGUUGUAGGCGUACUGUGUCCGGAUCUGUUGAGAAUAGUGUAGAAGCCUACGUUUGUGGAAUUGUCACAUUAUUUUUGUCUUCUUUUAGGGUUCUCGCAACCUCAACCCCAUACCAUACCAAGCAGACUACAUGGGACAGAAGGUUCAUAUGGACCAGAAUGAAAAGUUGGCAAUGUUUGGGGUUACACAUGUUGUAGCCAUUGAUGGCUAUAGCAAAAAGAUUGUUGGUCACUCCACCAUGGCCAUAAAAAAUAACCUUGUCAUCUAUGAAGAUGUUUUCAGGUAACAGCAUGUAAUGACAUUUAACAGUAUUCUAUCAUUUAUGUGAGCCAAGCCGGAUGCUGGCGAAUAUAUCAAUAUGGUAUCAAGAUUGUGAUAUGCACUAUCUAGACUAUGUGAUUUUGGAUGUCCUACUAAGAAAAGCUGCGUAGUCCCCUAUAACUGACACUCUUAUACUGCCAUUGGAAAUAGUAUCCGACAUAGGCGAAUGUGACAAUAUGCUGUCAGCUUAACAGUUACUUUAUAACUGAAUCAUUUAUAUUUUAAAGAGAAGAACUGAUUUUGAAUGGUUAAAUUUGAAAAGCUUUGCUCAAAUUAAAACCACGUUUUUCAUCCAAUAGGCCUGCAAUACUAGCUAAUGGGAUGUGGGACCAGGUCCGCGUGGAUCAUGGGAAGGAAUUUUUUUUGACACUCUUCAUUCAGGAGCUGCUAUCAUCUCAUCGCUACGAUCAGGAGAGAAGACCUUACUUGCAAACUCCAUCCACAAGGAAUCACACAGUUGAACGAAUCUGGCCGGAGAUAAAUAGUCGUGUCAACUACCCCCUGAAGAAAGCCCUUCUGCAGUUGGUGGACCAGGAAUUACUAGACAUGGAUGACAGCCUUGUCAAAUACUGUGUGUCCUGCCUGACUGGUCAGCUGUGCCAGAUUGGUCUUACAAGAGUGGUAGAGUCUUGGAAUGCUCAUCGAAUUCCAGGUAAAGGAACACCAAAUGACUUGGCUGGCAGUGGGUGUCCCAAAAAAAUCCCACAGGAACUGUUGCCUCACUCAGCUGAAGCAGCAGAACUCUACAGACAACAGCUGGGAUCCUCCCUGACACCACAAUCUACCUUUGGAGUAGAUCAAUUUUUAACAGAAGAAGACAAACUAAUGGCUGAGAACCAGUUUGCAGAACAAUAUUCUGACAUUUCUGAACUGAUGUCUAGAGCUGUCAACAAUGAUUUCACACCAUACAAAGAGGCGCUUCUCUUUCUCAUUACCACAACUCGGCGCAAUGUGUAAAAAAAAUUGUUGGCACUUGUAAAGCAUGUAAGAAGAACGUAAAUGAGUGGAACUGGUGGCAGUGGGCGUUUGAACUCUGACCCAAUUUAAAAAUAAAUAAAACAAAAACAAAAAACACUCUGUUACCUGCCUGUUUGUGAGUAAACAAAUACAUAUUAUUCCUCUUCAAAAAGAGACCUCAGGACAGACAGUGCCUCUGAUAGGCCCUUAACCUCAAACAUGCUGUUUCCUUCAACACUUCCCCUACAUUUUGCACAGGUGUCUGAGCUCCUAAGCCACUCCUCCACACAAGUUUUGCAGCCAAUGAGGUUUUGGCAACACUGCGUGAAGAGUGGCUCUGUCAUCAACUCUAAAACACCAAAUGAGAAAAACGAGUCAAUUUAUGCUUGUGUGUCCUCAGUUAAAUGUUCUUGGUGUAUUGGAUGAGCAUUAUGUAACACAACUUUGUUAAUUAUAAAAAUAUCUGUUACUGUAUAUCACAAAAAAUAAAGUGGCUGGCACACAGCAGACCUUAGUUAGAUAAUAUAAAACAUGUGUUUAUUUGUAACUCUGAAAUUGUGGCACACACCAUAUAAAGUAGAUCCUUUGGAUACUUACUCAAGCAAAAAGCACAGGAGAACCCGUGCUUAAUGGCCUGUAGCUGUGAAUGAGUCAGGGUCAGUCUUUGAACUGCAGCCAGACUGGUGAGCUCCCUGAUUGCUAAAGUGACAUCCGGGAGACUCUGAGAUGCAAGAACCAGCUCUUCAAUUUUGUCUGUGACCUCUGCAAUGCCUCCAACCUCUUCAUUUUUCCAGCUGUUUCACAGAGGAUAGAACAAAACAUAGAGGUUAGAUAUGUACUUGAUGUGGUGAGCAGGAUUGGUGAUGGUGGGGUAGAAGCUUAACCUUUGCAAAAAAAAAAAAAAGUAGGCCUAUUUGAUUUAUAAAUGUAGAGCUGCCAUUUAGGAAAUGUAUUUGACAGGAUUUCAUACUUUAAGGGCAAGUUGGUUUCUUAGUGGCAGACAGGGUAUAAGGGAAUGCUAACCCAAUGUAUGGUGUGGCCUAUACAGAGAUGGCAAUGGCAAAAUUGUCUGAAAAGUCAAGUAAAGAUUAAUCUAACAGAAAAUAAAAUAAAAAAAAGAGCACAUUUCAGUGUAAAUGAGCCUACCUCAUUCUCCUCCUUUUGGUGCCCUGCAGCUCUGUAAAGUCCUUUUCUGGAACAGCAAGAAUCUUUCGGUAACCCUUCC